rnacentral:misc_RNA from 1 species
CAUUAAAAGAAUCGCCCCGUUUUUUGAAAUGGGUUCUAUUCCCCAACCGUGUCUAUAUACCUUUGUUGCUUUGGCAGGCCGCCACUUAGGCGUUGGCUCCGGCUGACUGUGCCUGCCAGAGGACCCAAACUCGUUUGUUAGUGAUGUCUGAGUAUUAUAUAAUAGUUAAAACUUUCAACAACGGAUCUCUUGGUUCUGGCAUCGAUGAAGAACGCAGCGAAAUGCGAUAAGUAAUGUGAAUUGCAGAAUUCAGUGAAUCAUCGAAUCUUUGAACGCACAUUGCGCCCCUUGGUAUUCCGAGGGGCAUGCCUGUUCGAGCGUCAUUAUAACCACUCAAGCCUCGGCUUGGUCUUGGGGUUCGCGGUCUCGCGGCUCUUAAAAUCAGUGGCAGUGCCGUCUGGCUCUAAGCGUAGUAAUUCUCUCGCUAUAGAGUUCCGGUGGUUA